rnacentral:lncRNA from 1 species
CAUCAGGACGCUCAGAUGUGGCAGCCUCGCGGGAGAGCGAUGGGGACUGCAGACCUGCAUCAUCUGGGCAGCCCCACGAGUCUCCUGGCGACGGCUUUCCUCCUCUCUGUGGUGCUCGACUCCGCGUGGCUCCUCACCCAGGAGCAGCAGGAUCUCCCAGCCGUGAAGCCAGACGCCAGUCUAAAUGUGAAGUUUGACCCACAGACGACGAAGCUGACUUGGGACUGCAAGGAAAACACCACCUAUGGGGAGUGUGCACUGAUUCACAAGGAGAAGGGACUGAUUAAGAAAAAGGUCAAACACAGUGAUUGCCAGUGCACAUUUCCAGACUGCUCUCUGCACGGGGGAGUCACGCUCACCGUUGAAGUGAGUGUCAACCAGAGACGGCUUUCAGAGAUGCUGGUCUACACUAACCCAGGUAAGGAGGGCACAGCUGCCGAAAACUUCUCCUGUGUUAUCUACGACGCGGAUUUCAUGAACUGCAGCUGGGCCAAGGGCCGAGCGGCUCCCGACGACGUCCAGUAUUUUUUGUACGUGCGAUCAAAGAAAAGAAUCGAGAGGGAAUGUCCUCGUUACCUGAAAGACUCGGGGACGCACGUGGGAUGUCACCUCCGAGACCUCUCGGGGUUAACGUCGUACAGUUACUUCCUGGUUAACGGUACCAGCCAAGAAGCAGGAAUCCAGUUCUUUGACUCAGUUUUGCUGCUAAAGGAAAUAGAGCAGUACAACCCACCUGACAAUAUCAGCGUCCAGUGCAAUGCGUCCCACUGCCUCAUCCAGUGGGAAAAGCCCAGGACGCGACAGGCACGGUCCAACAGGGAGCUCCAGUACCAGCUGGACAUCGAGAGAUGGCGUGACACCAGCAGCAGCAGAAGUCAGCUGAUUGUAGUAUUUGGUGACUCCGGGAACAGAUACAACUUUCCGAAGCCGGGAUCCAAAGCAAAACAUACUGUGAAGAUAAGGACGGCGGACGCCCGGAAAGCCCGCUGGGGUGCCUGGAGCCCGCCCGUUGAGUUCGAUGAAAAAUGUGCCCUGGUUAAGAAAAAUAAUUUUGGAGAAGGAAAUGGCAACCCACUCCAGUAUUCUUGCCUGGGAAAUCCCAUGGACAGGGGAACCUGGCGGGCUGCAGUCCAUGGGGUCGCAAAGAGUCGGACACAGCUGAGCGACUAACACAGAGAAACGAAAAUAGCUUAUUGUAAAGAGCACUUACUCUAAAUGACACGUGAAAUGAAAGCUUAAGGAUAGAUGGGACGGGACUUCUCUCCUGGUCCAGCAGUCAAGAUCUGCCUUCCAACGCAGGGGAUGUGUGUUCGAUCCCGGGUCGGGGAGCUAAGACCUCACAUGCCUUCAGGGGAAAAGGCCAAAGCAUAACACAGAGGCCAUAAGGAAUUCCCUGGCUGUCGAGAGGCUAAGAGGCUUCCCUCCCAGUGUUC